rnacentral:rRNA from 1 species
UACGUAGGGGGCAAGCGUUAAUCGGAAUUACUGGGCGUAAAGCGUGCGUAGGCGGUUGCGCAAGACAGGUGUGAAAUCCCAGGGCUUAACCUUGGAAUUGCACUUGUGACUGUGCGGCUGGAGUGCGGCAGAGGGGGAUGGAAUUCCGCGUGUAGCAGUGAAAUGCGUAGAUAUGCGGAGGAACACCGAUGGCGAAGGCAGUCCCCUGGGCCUGCACUGACGCUCAUGCACGAAAGCGUGGGGAGCAAACAGG